rfam:Haemonchus contortus, ISE/inbred ISE, WGS project CAVP01000000 data, contig: Hcontortus_40949
GGCACAAACUUGAAGUAGUGUAGUUUAGUAGGGUCAGAUGAUAAUCCUAAUCCACUCUAUUUCAAAUUUGGGCCC